rnacentral:rRNA from 1 species
AGUGAACGCUGGCGGUAGGCCUAACACAUGCAAGUCGAACGGCAGCACAGUAAGAGCUUGCUCUUACGGGUGGCGAGUGGCGGACGGGUGAUGAAUACAUCGGAAUCUACUUUUUCGUGGGUGAUAACGUAGGGAAACUUACGCUAAUACCGCAUACGACCUACGGGUGAAAGCAUGGGAUCUUCGGACCUUGCGCGAGUGAAUGAGCCGAUGUCGGAUUAGCUAGUUGGCGGGGUAAAGGCCCACCAAGGCGACGAUCCGUAGCUGGUCUGAGAGGAUGAUCAGCCACACUGGAACUGAGACACGGUCCAGACUCCUACGGGAGGCAGCAGUGGGGAAUAUUGGACAAUGGGCGCAAGCCUGAUCCAGCCAUACCGCGUGGGUGAAGAAGGCCUUCGGGUUGUAAAGCCCUUUUGUUGGGAAAGAAAAGCAGCAGGUUAAUACCCCGCUGUUCUGACGGUACCCAAAGAAUAAGCACCGGCUAACUUCGUG